GUAGGGGCAGUAAGGAGCUUCCAGGGAAGAGGAACCUUUCUGUCUCUUCUCCCUCCCCUGCCCCUUGGAGGUCAAAGGCUCAGGUUCUGUGUAAGAGCAGAGGACUGAGCUCAAGGCUGCUGUCCCGGCCUUCCGGCCUUCCGCAGCACCAGGGCAAAAACCUUCCUACCUCAUGUUUUAGUUUUCCACAGCCUAAUCCUUUCACUCCUCUACUUCCCAUACUCUUCCCUGCUGCCUUCCAGAACUGUGCUCUUAACAACUGAUCAACAAGCAAUAGGGGUGAGUGGAAUGAAAACUUUGAAGAAUGAAAAAGACAAAUUCUAACUGAGCUAUCUAGCUGUGAUGCUUCUAAAACUGAACUUAACCUGAAAUGAAUUUAUCUUGACAGCAUGUUAAAUGAGUUACUAUAAACUCAUAAAUCAGGAUUUAAAAAUAUUUCAGAUACUGGGGAGAACUCAGGUGUAGUGGCAUUCACCUAUAAUCCUCGUACUUGGGAGGCCGAGGCAGGAGGAUCACUGUGAGUUCAAGACCAGCCUGGGCUAGAGUGAAACCCUGUCUCAAAAAUAAAAAAUUUUUUAAAAUCAGGGAGAAAACCCAAACCCUUUUGUAUUUCAGGACAAAUUUUUAGGUAGAUGAAUCAAGUUGUAUUUGAAUAUAGAUUAAAACAAGUAAUUCAUACUCCUCUUCCUUAAUUUGAGAUUUACUAGAAGAAAUGACAGAGAGAAUGGAAGCUUUGGAAAAUCGCCUGAGAGCCAGAUGAGGACUAGAAAUGCUAUACACAUGUGUACACCGUAGUGCCGAGGGUCAGGCGAGGCCCAGAGCCCCACAGCUCAGCUGUUACGUCUGUAAUGUUGUGCAGUAAACACCAGUUCUGAGGAAGCUGGUUUUCUAUACAACAAAGACAAAAAGUACACACUAACUUGUAUAAUUUAGGAAAACAAACGCAUCAGCAUUCCAGGAUGCAUUUACCGUGAGAAUAAGCUACACAGGUGUUCUGUAAUGUCCUCUGGACAUGCACGCUCUGCUUCUGCCUCAGCCAGCCUUAGCAUUGUACUAUUUGACUACAAAACACUUUGCAGUCCCCCUCCCACAGACACUGGCCGGCCACAAGAGAUGUUUUGGUACUGGACUUUAUCUUGAUAUAUGUAUAUGGAUACGUAAAAGAUCACAGGACAUAUGUACUUAUGUAACAAGUUGAAUAUUUUCCCGAGUACCAGGGAUUGAACUCAGGAUCUUGUGCUUACAAGGCAGGCGCAGUGCCACUGAGCUAAAUCCCCGGCCCCCACAAGUUGAAUUUUUUUAUACAAUAUUAAAAUUCACUUAAGAGAAUGGCA
rnacentral:lncRNA from 1 species